AGGCCUUAUUUUCAGAGAAACACGGUUGCUGAGGCCUGUACUGGGCCUGGCAGGUGAGUUAAAGGGCUGGCAAGACUUAGAGCUGAGAGGCCAGAGCCCAGUUUCUGGGCUUGAAUGAUAGGGCACUUCACUGUGGAGAUAAGAGUCUGCUGUGGACAGCACUCGUGUCCCUGUCUCACCACAUUAAGUUCCUGUUGGCCUUGGGGCUCUGGGCAUUCUGGCUCUGUCCAGUCACUGGUUCUCAUAUCAGACAGUAUGUCGUCUUCCAAUUCAAAUAGUAUCAUGUUGCUCCCCUGCUUAAAAUCCUUAAUGGCUUUUGUACUAAGGACAAAAUUAAAAAUCUUUUUGUGUUCUCUGAGCCUUCCGAGGCCUGUGAUCAGACUGGAGGCCUCCUCCUUCCUCUCCCUGGAGUGGCCUAUCGUUUCUUCCCUCAGUCCCCUGAAGGCAUCUCCCUUUUUAAGGGGGGUGGCUUCUUUCUCCUCUUUGAGGUCUUGGCUUAGAGAAGAGGUAUUUUCUCAUGUAAUUUACUGUAGAUCUUUCCUGCUUUUCUUCCUCAUAGAACUUUAUUCUUUAAUAGAAGUUACCAGAAUUUAUAGUUAUAUAUUAACUUUUUAUUUGUUUCUUGUUUUUCUCCUUUACGAUAUAAGAGCAGGGACCAUGUCAGCUUUGUUUAUAGUCUGGCCAGGGCCUGGUAUAAUAAUGACACAUAAGCACAAAAUAGAUAAUUUUUGAAUGAAUGUGUAAAUAGAAAAAAUAAAUAGAAUUAGUGAGCUCUAUAAGAAAUGCAAGAGAUACCACCAGCUACUGCUAUGCGUAAUUAAAAGUUAUUUGAAUGAUGGAAGUAAGUGUUAAAUAGCGGUUCAGAGGUGAGGGGCCCAUUUGGGGUGGGUGACCGCUAAGUACCGUGUCUUUGAAAGAGAGGCAAGGAGAGAGUGUACCCGGGAACAAGUGUCCAGGUGAGGGUAGGCCUGGCAAGUAUGAGGCAUGACUCAGGGCAGCUGGCAAAAUGUUUUCAUUGGAUCAGAGCAGAAGUGGGAAGCACGGUCAUGAAGUAGGUGUGUUCCAGAGCCUGCUGUGCCACCUGUAGCUGCUGGGCACUGAAUCGUGGCUUGCAAGACUGGGGUGUUAAGUGUUAUUUAAUUUUAAUUAAUUUAAGUAGCCACAGUGACAAGUGACUAUUAAAUAGUGUAGUUCCAGAAGUUACUAGUAUAAGAAUUGUCCCUUGGUCCCCUUUCUGUGUGGGUCGGGGUGAGUGGCACCCGGUGUUCUGAGGCACCGCGUCUGUAGGGAGAGACGCGAGGCACAGAAAUAUAACAUAAAAAUGGCUUCCAAAAGAGCCCCAGUCAUCUUGGCUAAAGGAGCAGAGGAAAUGGAGACAGUGAUCCCUGUAGACAUCAUGAGACGAGCUGGGAUUAAGGUCACCAUUGCAGGUCUGGCUGGAAAAGACCCAGUACAGUGUAGUCAUGAUGUUGUCAUUUGUCCUGAUGCCAGUCUUGAAGAUGCAGAAAAACAGGGGUUGUAUGAUGUGGUGUUUCUGCCAGGAGGGAAUCUGGGUGCACAGUAUUUAUCUGAGUCUGCUGCUAUGAAAGAGAUACUGAAGGAACAGGAAAAAAGGAAGGGGCUCAUAGCCGCCAUCUGCACAGGUCCCACUGCUCUGUUGGCUCAUGAAAUAGGUUUUGGAAGUAAAGUUACAACACACCCACUUGCUAAAGACAAAAUGAUGAAUGGAAGUCAUUACAGCUAUUCUGAGAGUCUCGUGGAACAGGACAGCCUGAUCCUCACAAGCCGCAGCCUAGGGAUCAAUUUUGAGUUUGCGCUUGCCAUCGUGAAGACCCUGAGUGGCAAGGAGGUGGCAGAUCAAGUGAAGGCUCCACUUGUUCUUAAAAAUUUGACCCUCAGAGAAGUAGGCCACUUGUAAUCCAUUCUCAUUGUGUUCUCUGAAAAAAAUGGUGGGUUAAUGUGCUAAGAAGCUGCCCUUGGUACUGCUUUCAUGGAGUAUAGUUGUGAAGUGACAGCUACACAGAGAUCUCUCAACCCACAGAUUGUGCUUGUACAUUUCUGAGCCUUGUUUACACAAUAAACGGAAUUUGGCAAACUAAAAAAAAAAAAAAAGAAUUGUCCCUUUAUUUUGGGGGCACCAUUGACUAUUUAUUAUGAUGAAAGUGACGUAAUCUUGGCUGGUCUUUUGGGAAAUUCUUGAAUAUGGUAGUAGCAGUGAGAUGGGUUUGGGUGAGGGAAGGCCAAAAGCAUGGCAAGUCUUCUGUUAUUUAACCAGAGGCCAGCAAAAGGGAAUUAGCUCUUGAAUGUGCAAGAGGCCUUUGAGGCUUGUGGGAACAGGUGGCUGCCGAGCUGAUGCUGAGGUGCCCAUGAUAGGCUGGCCAGUGGUGGGGACCUGGGUCCCAGAGGAGACCCAAGAGCACCUACACCUUUGAGCCUGGGGGCAGUGCAGUGUGCUGUGGACAGAAAUCCGAUGCACAGUACAAGUGUGUGUGGUGGUUGAGAAAAGUUAUUUGGGGAGGAGAGUACCAUUGAGGUACAUGUGAGGGAAUACCAUCUAGGGAAUGUCCACAUUGCAUUCAUAAAGUGAAGUGAACCUGGCAUUUGGGAGCGAGGUAUGUCAAGAUAGAUAUUUGGGACUUAGCUACAGAGGUUACAGUGGAAACUAGGAACAGAAUGAAAAGUUCAGAGGGUAGAGUAUAGAGGAAAAAUAGCCUUGGGGUAUCCCACAGUUGAAGAGGGCAUGAACAAGUGGACGCUUGAGGCAGCCAGGGGAGGGAGCUGAGGAAAGUAAUGUGGUUAGCUCAGUUUGAGAGGGAGCAUGGGCCAGAGAGUAUGGCAGCAUGGUGGGGCGUCAAGGCCAGGGAAUGAGUCAAGGCCAGAGGAUUUGACAAAAGGUUGUUUGGAAUAUUCUAAUCUCUUUGUUUACCCUCCUGAGCUAUUCUAGAUGUCCUGUAGUUAUGUUUAAACUUGGAAUGUAGACUUAGAACACUAGCCUCUCUGCUCUUAGGUGAGAGGGCCAGUGUGAUUGAAAAGGGAGCACUCCUCGGCCUCAGAGAUGUCGUGUAAUCAAGACAGACUCAGUGGAAAUAUAAGGCUGAACUGAAAUUUCAGUUUUUGUAGGUCAAAAAGUGUUGAAAAUGGCAACUUCAUAUGAUUAUAUCUGAUUGUAUAAAGCAGCAUUCUACAAGCCUCCCAGCACAUGUAGGAAGUUAGCAUAUGUUUUCCUCAAUGCCUUCACUGUGUAAAUGAGGAGUUGAUAGUACUUUCAUUGCUCUGUCAUGUCAGCAUGGAGCUGUUUGUCUAGCUGUCUGCCAUUUUGAGUAUAAUAAUUGUGUCCUUUAUAAAUGCGCACAUUAUUAAUUACUGUUUAUGUUGGGUUCCAUGGGAAGCAAACUCUGAGAUGGAGAUUUGUAUUUAGGAAGUUUACUGGGGAGUACUUUUGGGAUCACACCUGUGGAUAGAGAGAAGGGAGCAGAACUGGCUAGGACAGUGACCUGUCACUGCUGUGUCAUCCCAUCAUGAACCUAGUAUACCUCACCAUGAAUCCAGUACUUUGAAAAGUCUUUCAUCAGUACUUUGAAGUACUUAGUGUACAUAUAAAUUUUGCCAAAUUUAUCCCUAAUAUUGAUUAA